rnacentral:rRNA from 1 species
AGUCUGCAACUCGCUACAUGAAGCUGGAAUCGCUAGUAAUCGCGAAUCAGAAUGUCGCGGUGAAUACGUUCCCGGGGUCUUGUACACACCGCCCGUCACACCAUGGGAGUUGGGAAUGCCCGAAGCCGGUGACCUAACCGAAAGGGAGGAGCCGUCGAAGGCAGGCUUGAUAACUGGGGUGAAGUCGUAACAAGGUAGC